UGGGGAAUCUUGCGCAAUGGGCGAAAGCCUGACGCAGCCAUGCCGCGUGAAUGAUGAAGGUCUUAGGAUUGUAAAAUUCUUUCACCGGGGACGAUAAUGACGGUACCCGGAGAAGAAGCCCCGGCUAACUUCGUGCCAGCAGCCGCGGUAAUACGAAGGGGGCUAGCGUUGCUCGGAAUUACUGGGCGUAAAGGGCGCGUAGGCGGACAGUUUAGUCAGAGGUGAAAGCCCAGGGCUCAACCUUGGAAUUGCCUUUGAUACUGACUGUCUUGAGUACGGGAGAGGUGUGUGGAACUCCGAGUGUAGAGGUGAAAUUCGUAGAUAUUCGGAAGAACACCAGUGGCGAAGGCGACACACUGGCCCGUUACUGACGCUGAGGCGCGAAAGCGUGGGGAGCAAACA
rnacentral:rRNA from 1 species